UCACGCUCAGUCUGACGUCGUACCUACAGAAUCAGAAAUAAAAAUAACAUUUCCGCUGCAUUUCUUCAAAUUUACUCAAUAUACUUGAAAAUACAGCUUGUUCGGCGUAAGAAGACAACGUUUUAAGGACUGUCCGCUGUAUCGAUGAAGCCUCUUAGAGACGCUGAACUGGGCGCUUUCACCUUCUUUGCCUCAUCUCUCCCUCAUGAUGUGUGUGGCAGCAAUGGUCUCCCCCUCACGCCAAACUCCAUCAAAAUCCUGGGGCGUUUUCAGAUCCUAAAGACCGUCACUCACCCCAGACUGUGCCAGUAUGUGGAUAUUACCAGAGGGAAACAUGAACGGCUGAUUGUUGUUGCAGAGCACUAUUCAAGAAAUGUAGGUGAUUUCAGACAAGGACAAACGGCAACGUGAGUUCAGAUUCAAUUCAGUUUACUUAUAUAGUACCAAUUCCCAACACUUGUAAUGUCAAGGCACUUUACAGGGAAAUUCAACUGAGUCGUACAGUCAGGUGGGAUAAAAGUUUUCCAUAUAAGGACCAAACUGGUCCUAUAGUCACUCUAUUACAGAUGGAGUAAUGUAAUGAAAGUAAUUUCACCCUGGGAUAAUUAA